rnacentral:snoRNA from 18 species
UGGAGGUCUGACGUCCCGUUCUGGGAGGGGAGGAUGGAAGCCUAGCUUGGUCACUACCAGUGUGCACAUGUGUGUAGACUAGUCAAGCAUCGUUGAUACAAGCUGCUCUUGGUCACCGGAGGGCCUUCGGUUUCAUAUGCAGAGACAUC